rnacentral:rRNA from 1 species
UACGUAGGGUGCAAGCGUUGUCCGGAAUCAUUGGGCGUAAAGAGCUCGUAGGCGGUCUGUCGCGUCUGCUGUGAAAACCUGGGGCUUAACCCUGGGCUUGCAGUGGGUACGGGCAGACUAGAGUCCGGUAGGGGAGUGUGGAAUUCCCGGUGUAGCGGUGAAAUGCGCAGAUAUCGGGAGGAACACCAGUAGCGAAGGCGGCACUCUGGGCCGGUACUGACGCUGAGGAGCGAAAGCGUGGGGAGCGAACAGG